GACGAACGCUGGCGGCAGGCCUAACACAUGCAAGUCGAGCGGAGCGGCGGACGGGUGAGUAAUGCCUAGGAAUCUGCCUGGUAGUGGGGGAUAACGUCCGGAAACGGGCGCUAAUACCGCAUACUAUCAGAUGAGCCUAGGUCGGAUUAGCUAGUUGGUGGGGUAAAGGCCUACCAAGGCGACGAUCCGUCACUGGUCUGAGAGGAUGAGCAGUCACACUGGAACUUAGACACGGUCCAGACGCCUACGGGAGGCAGCAGUGGGGAAUAUUGGACAAUGGGCGAAAGCCUGAUCCAGCCAUGCCGCGUGUGUGAAGAAGGUCUUCGGAUUGUAAAGCACUUUAAGUUGGGAGGCGUUACCAACAGAAUAAGCACCGGCUAACUUCGUGCCAGCAGCCGCGGUAAUAC
rnacentral:rRNA from 1 species